ACAGCUGUUAGGGUUUGCUGUUUUAUCAAAAGAUUUUUUUUGUUAACGGGUAUUAGUUUGCACGUGUAAAUUUUUUUUUUUUAUAAAACAUUGUAUUGUAUAAAUACAUAAACGGUCGUAUUGAAAUGGACAAGCGAACACCAAAAAAUUUGCAGGAUCUUUUGAAGUUUGCAAUUAGUCAGGAGCAUACUGAAAGAAAUGAGUGCAUUGAAAUCGACGACGAUGUAAGUUAAAUUCAUACAGUACUUUUCGCUUGAGGGGUUUUACUUUACAAUACUUUGUAUUAAUAUAAGAGUUUCAUUGUUUUUAAAACAAAAUCAAAUUUGUUGUCAAAAUGUAUUGGACAAUUUUCAUUCAUGUAUUAUGAGAACUA